CGCUGCUUCAGCUUGCCCAGCUCCUGGCGCAGCAGGUCUUCGUAGGGCAGCUCCACCGAGGAGAAGACCACGGCGCCGAACACCAGCGCAGCAUAAGGUGACGCAGUGUGAAGCGGGAGGCUGACUUUCAUUCAGCGCAGGAUGUGAUGAGUUCAAGGAGAAACCCAGAUGUCAGGUGUUGAAGUCCUCCCUCAGAAAUAUCUCCAAUGAAACGCUGAAGGGCUUGAGACAUCAGAAGAUAAGGAGAUGGUGGCUAGAGGAAGAGGACAGCCUGGUGGCAGACAGCAACCAGAGAGGGGGAUCACUGGACUUUUGUCCAGUGACUGAAAAUGACAAUGGAUAACAAUAGUAGCUUCAGUGAAAAGCAAGAAUAGCUCACAGCAGGGCUCCAUUGACCAGCGCCUGAUCUGUGCCGGGUGGCAUAGGCCAACAAGGAGAUUUGACGUGGAGACUGUGCUGCUGUAAUCACUGAGCUCUAGUCAGUGAGCAGGAAUGAGUCUGGGGAAAGGGAAACACCCAUGUUUGGCACUACUACUUCUAUCAAGACUAUAAAAUAUUUUCAGCACCAGAAAGAAAAGUGAAAAUUACUCAUAUGCACAGAAACUUCAAGUUGACUGAAAAGAUUAUUUCUUUUCCUUUUUUUUUUUUUUUUCUCUAAAAGAGUAGUCUCUUAGGCAGAUCAUAAAACUUUUCCCAUCAGUCUUGGAAGAAAAAGCCCUUCCUCUCAUUAUGUUGUAGAACCUAAGUCCCAGAAGCUGAGUAAAUAAAAUUAGUUACCAGGCAAUACUUAUCCUGCCAAACCUGUUCUGCUCUGGCAUAGGUACAGCAGGAACUCACAGUACAGGGAACAGAGGAGGUGGUGGUGAGGAAUGGUGGGAUGAACCAGGACAGUGUGGGAGGCAGUAGAAACUUAAGUGGGAAAAAUAUGAGGCAGUAUCAAAGCUGUGUUACCCUGACAGCUGAAUCUUGAAUAGCAGCAGGGAACCGAUUUGUCCUUCAGAACCUUUCUUCAAAUUUGGCAUGGAUAUAAAUUCAGUGGAUAUGACAAGUUUGAAGUCUGAUCAGUCCUAAAUUAUGUAUACAUGAAGAAAGAUUGCCAUAAAUGUGAGAUUCUCUGAAUUAACUUCUAUUAAUGAUUCUGCCCCUAGAAUAUUUUUUGAUGACACUGAUAAGAAAUAGAAUCCUUCAUUAUUUGGUCUAUCUGUUAAGUGAAGGCUGGAACAUAAUACAUUUCCUUUUAUAGAAGAAAAUUUUUCUGAUCAAUUGUUUCUAAAUACUCCGUUUGCCAGCUUUUACAGAAGUUAGUACAAGGUUGGCUAGUGGCUGUGAUUGAAUGCCAUGGCCCUGUGGGCAGACAGGAUGUGAAUUUAUAAGAAUUACAUCCUCACAGGCACUAACACAAAUGUAGUUAAGUUGAGAAGUAGUAAGAUGAGUUGCCAUGUGUUCUGUUUCCAAUGGGUAAGGUGUUCUAUUUUGGCUAAAUGGAAUCUUAUAGAUUUAAGUCAAAUAAAGUAAAACUUACAAAAGUUGAAGCAACAGAGCCUGACUUUUCAGGGGAAAAAAGAAAUCUGUGCAGAGGGGAUGCAUUCCUCUCUUAAUUUGGCAGAAGGAUGGAGAUGGAAUAAAAGAGUACAGAUGUAUUUAGGUCUUUAAAAUUUAUCAGCAGCAUACUGGUGACAAUAGAUAUAUUGCUAAGGAAGAAAAAGAGUCAGCAAAUUCUGUGUCCAUGUUCAUGCCAGUUCCAACAAAACCUGCCUGGCUAAAUUCUACUUGAGAGACUUGAGAUUUAGUGAUUUCCUCAAAAAAUCCACAUUUUAUGCUGUUUACUUAAUGGUGCAACACUGUUCACAAAGGUUAAGACUACUGCUGCGUGGUAGCAAAGGAAUUAAUGUGCCUAAUUUAGACCUAUAUUUAGGGGAAAUUUUGCAUCAUGAAGUAGUAGUGUUUAGAAUCAAGGAAAUUUAUAUGCUUGGUCAGGCACAAUUUCUUUCUUGAGUGAGUCAUCCUUGUUCAGUGUAAAUGUAAUUUUCCUUAGACUUGCAAUAAGUAUUCAUAUCUAACCAAUGAUCUUGGUGUCCAGGUAGAAUAACUGAUAGAUAAUUGUUUUAUCAAGAUAAGCACUUUAUGUCAUGGAAAAAGUAAUGUCACAUAUAUUUACCAUCAGGUUUACCAAUGACUUUAUCCAGAAAGCAGCUUGGUUUCUCGAAGAGGUAUAGGUCCAAUGGGGAUGAGGGCUGCAUAUAUGUACAUAAAUACACACACCCAUGUAUACACAUAUAUGGUCUUAUAUAAAUAUAAUUACAUAUAUAGCAUGCUUCUUCAAACUCCUCACUCCUUUUAUAUUCUAAGUUGUGCCAUAUCUUUGGAGGAAGGCAAUUACCUGUUAUUUGUAGGAUUCUGUUAACACUAAAGAAAUGUACUAGCUCAGAGAAUUCAGGAUGUCAACAUGACCUUAUUAGUCAAUUACCUUAAAUAAAAUGCAACGUUUUCAAUAAAGUGACCUUGCCUUCCUCAGUCCUGUAAUGGUCACCCAGCAGAAUUGGUCUUUUUAAUCUCUUGUUCAAGAUGUUGAAAAGACAAAUGGUUGAUAUACUUAAUACUUUGUACUGAAAAAUAAGGUUCAAGUCACAAAAUACUUCAUAUCUCUUUCCAGCUACUCUGUAGAGUUUUGUGUCCUUCUUCCCCCAGCUUGGCAAUCUGCUCUUAAAAGUGGUCAUGGUAGGAAAUAAAAGAAUGCAGUAGCUAAAGUGGGCUCACACAACUGUGGGUGUCCAAGCCUCCAUCCUGAUCUUACCAAUUCUGAGACCAGUUUUGGUUUUGUUGAACAUGUGCCAGUUCUUGGGCACCCAGAAAAUGAUGGGGUCAGCAAAGCCCACCAGCUUUCUCUGGGCCAGUUUCAAAACAUACAGACUUAGAAUGGAUUACACACUAAAUGGUCUGUCUGUAGUUACUUUUCACAGUAGUUGGGCUCUAUUUCCUGGUUUCUGAUUCUGGUUAACUAGAGUGCAGUCCCAGUCUCAGUUUAGUGGUCCUGUUGGGCUAUAUUGUACAUCCUUUCACCUCUUUUAAUUCAGUUUGCAUCGCUGUAGAUUUUGUGUACUUGUUGUAAAAUCAAUGUUAUGCAAUGGGCUGUUGAACUUGGGUUACAGUGGCAGACAAAAACUUGGACCCAGCAGUGGUGACAUUCUCUCUCACUGCUCACGCACCCUCUUACCCAUUCACAGAAAGGUCACAUUAACUUGUCAAAACAGCUUUCAGCUUCAGCUCCAUUUGACUCUGUGUUCCUGGGCCACAGCACGUGUACACAGCACAGCGCUGCUCUCUGAGGCCUCCUUGCCCUGGGCUAUGAGUUUGGAUGGAGCAAUAUGUGCAUGCUUGGACUGGAUGUACUGGGGCCAGUGUGCUGGAGCCUGGUCUGGACACUGACUGCUCUUUGGCUCUGCCUUGGGCAGCUGGGCUCCAGCGACCAGCGAUGUUUCUGAGGCUGUUAUCCUUUGUAGCAGUGAAUGUCUUCAUGCCUGCAACGCAGUGGUUCCAGCCCAUAGGAGACCCAGUGGAUAGUGCACAUCAUCCCCAGGCCAAGAUUCUUCGCUAAAGUAGGGAGGUCUGGUGCUGGGUGUAGCUGCCUGCAUGUGGAUCAUACAGGGCAGGUUCUUAGGAUGAGUUUCAGAUGCUGCCUAGAUGUUGCCCAAUAAGUAAUCAGCUGUGGAAGAAGUAGGGUUGAAAAUCUGGGAAAGGAUAUCUUUCCUGCUGCAUCCAUAGCUGAUAGCUAGGAUCUAUUGCAGCUUGGCUUUUCAGGGCUCCAGGCUCCUAGAGAGCAAUGCUAGUGAGAGGCCCAUCUUUGCAGUGUCUAAUAUGUAAAAUAUGUUCUAACCCAGAUACUCAGGCAUACCUGAAAACAGUACUUGUGUGUGACCUUGCGUAUUUCCUGUGCUGUUUGGAUCCUACUGUUUAAAGGAGCUUAAUGUUUAACUGUAGGGUGGAAUAAGUUCCAAUGCUUCCCUGAAAAUGUCCCAGCAGGAUGGAGGACCCAGGCAACCUCUUCCCUGGGCACAAGCUUUAGAGCCUGGUGAGGGGGAGCACUGAAGCAGGUAUCCUUCUCUCUUCUGUGUCUUCUUCUCUCUUCUGCAUCUUCUAUAUCUUCAGGUAUCCUUCUCUUCCUCCAGGGCAAAUCCUUGUGUUUCCAUGGUUGGUCCUGACAGCUCAGAGGCCUAAUAGUUCUUCUCUGGGAGUGCAGCACAAACCAACACACUGUACCAGAUGCCCUCAGCCAUGGCAUUUAUUCCUUGUAGAUGAAGGCCCACAUUGCCACAAUGAAGUCAGCAGGAAUUACUACUCACCAAUGAGGAAACACAGGCAAACCAUCUAAUUUGGGAUACUCCCACCUAGCCAUGCUAUUUAGUCAGGUCCAUUUUCCAGGCAUCCCUUCUGCCUCAGCAGUGUUAAGUUUUAAUAAGUGCUAUUCAUUGCCUCACUGAAGCAAUGCCUGGAACAGCCCAUGGGUACUAUUGCCACAUGCACCUGCUAUAAUGAACACCAAAGCCUAUUUCAGUGACCUGAAUCUUUUGAAAAUUUAGUCCUUUAUUUUUAUCCACUUAGAGGGAGCACAAGCUAGUGUCCUACUUUUUCUCAACUAUGUCAUCUGACUCAUCAAUCAAAAUUGAGGCUGAAUCUUCUUAUCACCCACCGACUUUCAAUCAACCUAACAAAUUGAUCAGAAGUACAAAGGAAAUGUUUUGUCACUCAGCCCUAUACCUUUGCAAAUCUCGAGUCAUGUGAGAUAUUAUAAAGUUUACAGAAAAUACAAUUUCAACAAGGCCAAGUCCUACACUCUUGGAAGUGUAGGUAAGGUUACCUUGGAAAGGUGUGGUUAGAUAGAAAGAACAUCACAGGACAAAGAGAAAAACUUAUGUGAAGGAAGACAACUUUAAUAUGAGCUUCUGUACUAUUGGGUUGCUUCAUUUGAAAUAUAAUACAAUAGUAAUAUUGUUUUAUCCACUUCCAUCAGAGUCCACUGCACACUCUUAUAACAUUUACCAGAUACAGAAAUAUAAAAGAUAUUUGGCCUACAGGCUGUUAAAGAAAUGGCUUAAAAUGUAGGUCUAUCCAGAAGAACCUCUGUUAAAAAUGUGACAGGUUUUCCCCCUGUACUUUAGAAAAUGCAUGAAGCAGUUUAAAAAUAACACACCACCAUCACCCCUACCACCAAAAUCUGUUUUUCUUGUUGUUAUGGCAAAACAAGUGUCAGUGACCUGAUCCUAUUCUGUCUGACUCAUGAGACAUAUAUAGGAAACAAUUACAACACAUGCUAGAAGAUCAUUCCUUCCUUCCUCUUAGAAACUCUUUCCAGGAAUCCAGCCUGCGAUCCUUCAAAAUGUCUUCAGCCUGGCCAGGAAUAAAAAGUAAAAGACUGAAAUAUCCCAGUUUCCAAGGUAAACAAUCCACAUUUCUCACUGUGUCAUUUGUCUUCUGAUGUCUCACACCUGAUUUUAAGACAGAUCUACAAAAAAGUUGAAAAUAUGUUUGGUUGGGACCCAAAAUUCGCAGCCCUUUCGAACAUUGCCAACUGUGGGUUUUCUUUUUGUGCUGAGUUGUGAUUGUCUCUACCUCCCCCACUUCUUUGUUUAAAUUAGUCUUACCUGUGCCUCUUCUUGCUCCUAGUUAAAGUCCUCUUCUCCUACACAUCCCACAAAGUAAAUUUAUGACUAUAUUUUCAUAAACAGAAAAAUGAAAUAAAAUUAAUACUAUGUAUAUUUUUCAAGCUAUCCUUUCAUAAAUUAAGUCCUAAGCAUUACCUCUGUGCAAACAACCAAUGAUCAAAUCCUAAACCAGGUUGCAGAACUGGCCCUCAGCAUAGGUUUUCCAAUGAAACUGAAUUGGUGUUAAAUUAAUUCUGGGACAUUAGAUACACAGAUUAGAAUUAGAAAUAAUCUUGCUAACAGGUUUUAUGCCUUGGAUGAUCCUCUGUUUCCAAGUCAGCCACCUCAUCAUACACCUCAUCAACAUGAAACCAAUCAAAAUAUUAAUGAUUUAUAUGAAGUUAUAACUAAUAGUAAUCAGAUGUACUGCCCCAAUGACAAUUACUUUUAUUUUGUGUUCAUUAAGUAAAUUGAAGUUUUUUCUAGGCAGUGUGUAGUAUUGGUUGUUGGAGUUCAUUUUAAUAUCACCAAUCAAAGGGACAAAUGAAUAGUUUUCACAUUGUGCUGAUGUCUUCUGUUUCACUGCAGUUAAAUUCUUACCAUGGCGAGUUUGACUGUAAAAUACAGAGGCUUUCAUAUGCUGUGUGCCUACCAUACCACGUUAAAUGUUUCUUUUUGAAAAAGCAUUAUUUAUAGAGUGCAAUUUACCUGCAAAACAGCACAAAACACUGUUGGUAAACAAAGAUAAAUCUGCUGAUGAAAUUCAGUACAUCUAAAACCUAUUACUGAAUUGAAAAGGAAAGUACUGUCUAUAGAGAAGCAACUUCUGGGCUGUAUACUCUUCUUCAGUUAAUCUGAGCUUUGAUCACAAUAAUGGAGUAUAAAACAUAGUACAUUCCAGGGAGCAAAACCAGAAGAAUCAGACUGGAAUAAAAGAAUGUUUGAGUAAGAUUUUUGUGAGAAUAGUGCAUGGUGAUACAUAUUUAACAUUAAGCUUUACUGAUACUAAGCAUUUAGUAGGGAUACUAAGCUGGGUAGACCCUUUAGUCCUCAAAGGAUUCUCAGUCCUGUUCCACAGGGGAAACAAGCAUGAGAACUCAAGGAGAAUAUGCAGCAAGCAGCUAGAGGCUAAAUGAUCUCCUGUCAGAAUUUCAGUAAGGACAAAUCUCCCCUAGCUAAGAUCAGUGAAAGAAUCUUGUGGAGUUGCCUCCAAUGCUUAGGGCAACUAGAAGUGAAAUACUAUGUCAAGUAAAAAUAGUUACAAGAAUCACACAAUGGGUGAGGUUGUAUGGGAUUAUAUUGAUGAAGAUAAUGAUGAUGCUUAUUCCUGCUAUCCAAAACCACAGCGAUUUGGUCCAGGGUUACAAAGAACCUCAAUAUUAUUGAAUAUUUAUAUCUUCAUGAUAUUAUCAAAUCUCUUUAGCCACAAAAUUUAUCUAAUAUAUUAUAUUACUGUGCUAUAAUUACUGAACAACUUAAUAAUUUUGAGCACUGAAAAGAGAGCAAGUUUCAGUGUUUUAAAUCUCCUGACAGCUUUCGAGUGAGGAAAUUCUGGUUUUCUGAUUUUCUAUCUGAAAAAUGGAGUAAUAGAAACUGAAGAUCACUCUCUGAAAGCCAGUCCCCAUGAGAUUGGGAGAGGCAUUUAAUAACAUAGUCAGGAGUGCCAGCAAACCCCUACUGACAUCAUUAGGAGUUGACAUGUGCAGUUGAUAGCAGUACUUUUUUUGCAAUCCUGUGAAGGACUUGCCUGCCUCCUAAACCUCUAAUCCCCAGUGACUGAAGUCCCUGCAUGGAGGAGAAGGCAAUGAUGGAAGCAGUUGCCUGCUGCCUGGAAAUGAAAUCUAUGUGCGAAGCACAGGGAAAGCAGAUUUUUCUACAGCAUGUGGAAGGGAUGUCUGAUUUCCCAGCUGGCCUCUGACAGAAAGUUUCAUUCCCUGGCAGGGUCUUUCCUUGCUCCUUCUCUGGGCCUCACUCUUUACCUGUCAGUCAUUCCUGCAGGAUUUUCUGAAUGCUUGUAGGCAUGCAGCCGUGUCCAAAACUCAUCCAAGAAGAAAGGGCUGAUGGUGAGUUGUCAGAGACAUCUUUUGUGAAAAAUCCUUUCUUUAGGAUUUUUCCCUCUUCUGGAAG